AACGAACGCUGGCGGCAGGGCCUAACACAUGCAAGUCGAGCGCGCUUCCGGGUGAGCGGCGACGGGUUAGUAACGCGUGGGAACGUACCCUUCUCUACGGAAUAGCCUUUGGAAACGAAGAGUAAUACCGUAUACGCCCUUUGGGGGAAAAGAUUUUAUCGGAGAAGGAUCGGCCCGCGUUAGAUUAGAUAGUUGGUGGGGUAACGGCCUACCAAGUCUACGAUCUAUAGCUGGUUUUAGAGGAUGAUCAGCAACACUGGGACUGAGACACGGCCCAGACUCCUACGGGAGGCAGCAGUGGGGAAUCUUAGACAAUGGGCGCAAGCCUGAUCUAGCCAUGCCGCGUGAGUGAUGAAGGCCUUAGGGUCGUAAAGCUCUUUCGCCUGUGAUGAUAAUGACAGUAGCAGGUAAAGAAACCCCGGCUAACUCCGUG
rnacentral:rRNA from 1 species